rnacentral:rRNA from 1 species
CCUACGGGAGGCAGCAGUGGGGAAUAUUGGGCAAUGGGCGCAAGCCUGACCCAGCAACGCCGCGUGAAGGAAGAAGGCUUUCGGGUUGUAAACUUCUUUUGACAGGGACGAGCAGAAGACGGUACCUGUCGAAUAAGGCCCGGCUAACUACGUGCCAGCAGCCGCCGUAAUACGUAGGUGGCAAGCGUUGUCCGGAUUUACUGGGUGUAAAGGGCGUGUAGGCGGGGUGGCAAGUCAGAUGUGAAAUCCGGGGGCUCAACCCCCGAACUGCAUUUGAAACUGUUAGUCUUGAGUACCGGAGAGGCAGGCGGAAUUCCUAGUGUAGCGGUGAAAUGCGUAGAUAUAAGGAGGAACACCAGUGGCGAAGGCGGCCUGCUGGACAGCAACUGACGGUGAGGCGCGAAAGCGUGGGGAGCAAACAGGAUUAGAUACCCGUGUAGUC